UUGUGGAUGAUUCUUACCGGGUCGACUAGAGAACACACGAAGAGAGGUCCGCAACGAAUGAGGUGUUUCAUUUCACUUUCCUGUGUGUUCUCAGGUCGCCCCUGCAAGAUUUCCUUCACAA
rnacentral:pre_miRNA from 1 species